rnacentral:rRNA from 1 species
CCUACGGUGAGCAGCAGUAGGGAAUUUUCGUCAAUGGGCGCAAGCCUGAACGAGCAAUGCCGCGUGAACGAGGAAGGUCUUCGGAUCGUAAAGUUCUGUUGAAGGGGAAAAAGAGCGGAGAGAGGAAAUGGUCUCCGAUUGAUAUUACCCUUCGAGGAAGUCACGGCUAACUCCGUGCCAGCAGCCGCGGUAAUACGGAGGAUUCAAGCGUUAUCCGGAUUUAUUGGGUUUAAAGGGUGCGUAGGCGGUCGGAUAAGUUAGAGGUGAAAUCCCGAGGCUCAACCUCGGAAUUGCCUCUGAUACUGUUCGGCUAGAGAGUAGUUGCGGUAGGCGGAAUGUAUGGUGUAGCGGUGAAAUGCUUAGAGAUCAUACAGAACACCGAUUGCGAAGGCAGCUUACCAAGCUACUUCUGACGUUGAGGCACGAAAGCGUGGGGAGCAAACAGGAUUAGAUACCCGAGUAGUC